CACAUGGGGGGGGGGUCUUUGGAGCUGUGGCAUCCAUGGGGGGAUGGAGAUCCAUGGGUGGGAGUUGGGUUGGGGUGGUGGAGACCCAUGGGUGGGGACUUGGAGCCAUAGGGGAUUUCUGUGGGGUGGGGGACCCACAAAGGGCAGGGGGAGUCCUGGGGGGCUCUGUCUCCCAAUAAAGGGGUGAUGGGUCCCUGUCAUGUUGAGGUGGGAGGUUCACAAGGGCAGGGGGGGUCCCCAGGGUGGGGGGUCCUGGUGUCACCGAGGUCUUUGUCCCAGUGCCCAGCAAGGUGCCACCCAUGGGGACACUGUGGCUGUGGGGUGCUGUCCCCCUCCUCCUCCUCCUCCUCGCCUGCCUGGCUGCGCUGGGGCGCAGACGGACACAGGCACAGAUGGGUCGGACAUCACAGGGACGCCGGGAUCUCAGAGCCCCCCCAAAGCCCCCCAGCCCAGACCUUCCUGCGCUGCGCUUCCUCCAGGUGCUGCAGGCUGGGCGCUUCUCGGCGGUGUGGAGGGGCACCCUGCAGCAGCGCCCGGUCGCCAUAAAGGCUUUUGCUGCGGGGGCGGCCCGGCGCUGGGCAGCCGAACGGGCGGUGCACGAACUGCCGCUGAUGGAGCACGAAAACGUGGCGAAGCUGCUGGGCACCCGGGGAGCCGGACCGUGUGCGCGGGGGGGGCUGCUGGUCCUGCAGCUUUACCCGGCCGUGAGUGCGGGGAGGGGCAAAAG
rnacentral:lncRNA from 1 species